rnacentral:rRNA from 1 species
UGAUGCGAUUUCGGUCAAAUCAUGUGGCAUUCGAGUGGCGGACGGGUGAGUAACGCGUGGGUAACCUGCCUUACACAGGGGGAUAACACCUGGAAACAGGUGCUAAUACCGCAUAAGCGCACAGGGCCGCAUGGCCCGGUGUGAAAAACUCCGGUGGUGUAAGAUGGACCCGCGUCUGAUUAGCUUGUUGGCGGGGUAGGGGCCCACCAAGGCGACGAUCAGUAGCCGGCCUGAGUGGGUGGACGGCCACAUUGGGACUGAGACACGGCCCAAACUCCUACGGGAGGCAGCAGUGGGGGAUAUUGGACAAUGGGGGAAACCCUGAUCCAGCGACGCCGCGUGAGUGAAGAAGUAUUUCGGUAUGUAAAGCUCUGUCAGCAGGGAAGAAAGAAAUGACGGUACCUGACCAAGAAGCCCCGGCUAACUACGUGCCAGCAGCCGCGGUAAUACGUAGGGGGCAAGCGUUAUCCGGAAUUACUGGGUGUAAAGGGAGCGUAGACGGUGAUGCAAGUCUGGAGUGAAAGGCGGGGGCCCAACCCCCGGACUGCUCUGGAAACUGUGUAACUUGAGUGCAGGAGAGGUAAGCGGAAUUCCUAGUGUAGCGGUGAAAUGCGUAGAUAUUAGGAGGAACACCAGUGGCGAAGGCGGCUUACUGGACUGUAACUGACGUUGAGGCUCGAAAGCGUGGGGAGCAAACAGGAUUAGAUACCCUGGUAGUCCACGCCGUANACGAUGAUUACUAGGUGUCGGUGGGUAUGGACCCNUCGGUGCCGCAGCAAAC